rnacentral:rRNA from 1 species
CGGGUGAGUAACGCGUAUCCAACCUUCCGUACACUCAGGGAUAGCCUUUCGAAAGAAAGAUUAAUACCUGAUGGUAUGAUGAGAUUGCAUGAUAGCAUCAUUAAAGAUUCAUCGGUGUACGAUGGGGAUGCGUUCCAUUAGGUAGUAGGCGGGGUAACGGCCCACCUAGCCUACGAUGGAUAGGGGUUCUGAGAGGAAGGUCCCCCACAUUGGAACUGAGACACGGUCCAAACUCCUACGGGAGGCAGCAGUGAGGAAUAUUGGUCAAUGGACGAGAGUCUGAACCAGCCAAGUAGCGUGAAGGAUGAAGGUCCUACGGAUUGUAAACUUCUUUUAUAUGGGAAUAAAGUGGUCCACGUGUGGAUUUUUGUAUGUACCAUAUGAAUAAGGAUCGGCUAACUCCGUGCCAGCAGCCGCGGUAAUACGGAGGAUCCGAGCGUUAUCCGGAUUUAUUGGGUUUAAAGGGAGCGUA